CGGGACGGGUGAGUAACGCGUGGGUAACCUGCCUUGUACAGGGGGAUAACAGUUGGAAACGGCCGCUAAUACCGCAUAAGCGCACGGCAUCGCAUGAUGCAGUGUGAAAAACUCCGGUGGUAUAAGAUGGACCCGCGUUGGAUUAGCUAGUUGGUGAGGUAACGGCCCACCAAGGCGACGAUCCAUAGCCGACCUGAGAGGGUGACCGGCCACAUUGGGACUGAGACACGGCCCAA
rnacentral:rRNA from 1 species